CCUCCCUGAGGUGGCUGAAUAGAGGGAGGGGCAACAGAAAUGCAAUGGUCUCAGGGGAAGAAGGAGCCUUCCCAAGACUGGGAAGGGGAGGGGGUCUAUGACUGCGGAGACUGUUUCCUGGGGGCAAUGUCUCCCAGGGGCACUGGCUUCCCCCAGUGUCAGGGACUCCGGGUACCGCCAAGUUCUCCAGCCUCAGCUCAGCCAGAGGCUGCAGAUCCGCCCUGUCUGGGGAUCACCAGCCUCUGACAAUGAGCACUUCAAGGUGGACAGUGUGAACCGAAGACCAGCCAGCACCUGCAGUGUCCCACCUGGGGCAGGACCGUGACUCUCUACAUUACCUGGGGGCGGUGGGGCAGGCCUGGCUGUGUGAUUUGUAAGGCCCAGGGCAGAAUGAAAAUGCGGAGCCUCUGGUUCAAAACGAUGGAGGAUUUCGAGGCCGGGACAGCAGAGCCUCAGAGCAAGGCGGCACUCUGAGCUCAGGGCCUGUGGGGCUGCCUGGCAAUUCCCUGUGGGAAAUCAAGUUUCAUCUGGCUUAGAAAAACAGUCAAGUGAUGCCUCCUGCCCUCACUGGGGUGUCCUUUUUACCCCGGGCACUUCUCCUGGGCUCCUGCCCUCCUGGCACUGAGGUAAGAGGAGACACACGAAACCUUGCUGGCCUGGCCAGGAGGAACCCAAAGCCGUCGUUUCAGACAGACGAACCUGAGCCGGACGUGAACCUGGGUUCAGACCCUGCCGUUGCUGUGGGUCAGCGGCUGUUCCGCCUGUGGAGCAGCAUCGGGUGGGCGCUGCCUGGCACCGUGGCUGUGAGGAGAACUUCUGCAUGGCAUGGGUGUACUUCACGGGGGGUGCGGCCCCCCUGUAAUCGCUCUGCAGUCUGGGCGCCCUGUGAUGGGGGCCUGGUCCUCGUCCGCAGCUGUCUAGGCUGGCUCCGGUGUGAGAGACCCCUCAAUCUGGGACUCCUUCCAAAGGACACACCUUCUGACACUGGAAGAAGCUUUCCAAAGAGCUCCCCAAAGGUGAGGAAAAACACACACCACAGUUUAUUUACAAAGAAGUGGGAUUUGGGGAAGAAAGACUGGAAAGGAAGUUUCCAUUUUUUGCUUUCUAUACGUCGGUAUCUCUGA
rnacentral:lncRNA from 1 species